rnacentral:lncRNA from 1 species
AGCCAUAAUUGUCCCGGGAAAUCAAAACCCGGCCCCUCCUAAAUCCGCAACUUCUCCGGAUUCCAAUCCGUUUAUACUCGUUCACUCUUGAUCCAAACAACGAGGCUUCUUCAACAAUGAUAUCGUGAAUCAGGUAACAAUAAUGUAUACAUAUGAAGUUAAAUUGCUUGAAAUUUUUUUAUUUUUUUUAGUCCACUUGUUACUCUAUCUGUUUAAUUGAUAUUUGUUUUAGGUAUUUGAUUGCAGCAAAUUAAUUGGGUGUUAAUAUAUCUGUAUUUCUAUUACUUUCUGAUGACUGUUUUUUGAUAUCACAGUUUUUAGAGUCAUCGAUUUUUAUGAAGAUAAAGCAUUUUCAUGGAUGAAUAUACUGGAGACUAAGUAUUAGUUUAAUCAAAUAGAGCUGACUUUAUUGGAUAAUUUUUUAAUAAGAGUUGUCAGAUCAAAUUCCUAAAGCUGGCAUUGUUGAUUUACUGACCACCCAUAGAUUUUUCUUCAAAGUUUGCUAUGAAAUUAUUAGGAAAAUAAUGAUCAGAUCAAUUGGAUUACAUUGUCCUGGAUAUAUGCUGGUUUAUUUGAGCACGCUUUUAAACUAAACAUGGAAUAGAAAUUGACAUUCUCAAUGUAUGUCAAGCGGAAGCAUUGGCUAGAUAAUAUGUGCUCGGGUGUGUGUGGUGGUGGUUUUGGGGGGUACUGCAGGGCUUGCAUAAGGAAUACUCAUUCCAUAGCGUAACAAAAUUGAGGAUAUACAUAAGGGAGGGGUUUCAAACUAAAAUGAAUUAUUUUGCUGCUUUCUUUCAACACUUGUUCUUUUGAGCAAAAUCUUCAAGGUUAAUGGAAUACUUCAUUUAGUAGUGUGAUUUCUUGAAGUUCCUGGCCAACCAACACACUGGUGAUCAUUUUAUUUCUUUAAAAAAGUUAGUUUGCUGGUGUUACUAGUAUUUUAUAGUUAUCUUUUCCUUCCAACCUGAUAAUUCUAAUAUGGAGCAGUACAAGACAUGACAGACUUGGAGAUAAUUUUAUUCGAUGAUAAAUACCGCAAUGGAAUUGUACAUCCACAAUAGCCCUAUGAAGACAUGACCCCAAGCUGAUACUUGAUAGGAAUAUUGUUAAAUACUUGAUGCUUGUUCCAAAUUCGAAGUGCCAUUUAUACAAAUAAGAAUCCUAUAAUAAGGAAAAUUUCGUUAGGGGACUGGAGCAGGCCACCUCUUUUGUGAUUCAGUUAUGACAUUGUUCUAUUAUGUUGAAUGACUUAGUUUCUACUUACACAUAAAAAAGUGAAAGAUUGACCGGAUAAUCUGUGUGUGGGGGGAUGAGGUGCUUCGAUUAGGAAUAUCCAUACAACAAAAGUACAGAUAUACACAGAAGUGAGGGGUUUCAAACUAACAUGAAUAGUUUGCUGCUUUCUUCCCAAAACUCAUUCUUUUGAGCAAAAUCUUUGAGGUUAAUGGAAUACUUCAUUUAGUAGUGUGAUUUCUUGCAGUUUCUGGCUAACAAACACAGUGGUGAUCAUGUUAUUUCCCAAGAAAAUGUAGUUUGUUGUUGUAAUUAUUAGUAUUUUAUAUUUUUCUUUUCCUUCCAAUUCGAUAAUUCUGAUCUAGAGCAGUAUUGAAACUGACUUGACUUCAGGAUAAAAUAUAUAUAAUGAUAUAUACCACAAUGAUUGUACAUCCAUGAUAGCCCUAAGAAGACGUGAUCCCAAACUGAUACUUGAUUAAAUAUCGUCAAUUUUUUAAUGCUCGCUCCAAAUUCAGAAUGCCAUUUAUACAAAUAAAAAUCCCAUAAUAACGAGAGUUUUGUUAAGGGACUGGAGCAGGCUACUUCUUUUGUGCUUCAAUUAUGACAUGACAUUUCCGUUAUAUUCAGUAACUUGAUUCCUUCUUAUGCAUAGCAAGUCUAAUAGUUAAAUUGUGGGCUUAUAUUGGUGUUAUUGACCUUGAUUAUAUGUGUAUCACUUUUCAUUCUGGGCAUCUCUUGAGUUAUGCUAGUGUUAGACUAAUUAUUGUUAUAUAGUUUGGAUUAUGACUAGACAACGAAAUUAAAUAGGGGGCCCCUUAAUUUCUAUCCGUCGCUCAUUAGCUUGUUUUGUCUUCUUUGGUUUCCUUUAUGGUGUAAUCUGUAAUAUUAGUUUAGAAAUCGAGAGAAAAUAUUCUUGGAAGAAUUAAUUUAUCAAUCUGGAAAAGGCAAAUGAUAGCUACAAUCCCUUGAGAUUUUGGGGAUUCUUUACAUUGUGGUUUCAUGCCAUGAAAAUCUUGAUAGAUCUCUAAUAAUACAUACCAUCCACAGAAGUAUCAAUCACUAAAAUCCCAGUUCCAGUGAGGAUUCAGAAGAAAUUCAAUAUCACACCCAUUUCUUCAGGUCCUAAUUAGAGAAUUAAAUUCGGGACGGUAACCCACCAUAAAUGCUGAAAUUAUUUUUUGUUCACUCCUCAAUUGGACCACAAAAAAUUUAUUACAUUUCAAGGAGAAAACUAUUCAUUGAUUAAGUUUGUUUCUAGAUUCAUAUGUGCCUCUUACUGCAUUAAUAUCCUGUUUUGCUAUAGUUAUAAUACAGAACAACAUUAUCUGAGUAAUGAACGCCAAGAAACUGCAUGCUACAUUAGAAUUAACUGAAUUUUUUUUCUGAAGGAACUGCAACUGAAAACUUUUAUUCCUCUUUCAGGAAUAGUUUAGUUGCAAGGAGUGCGGCGGGAGCGUUUGUGGAAAAGUCGAGUGCUCCGGUUGUAAGGGCUGAGUUCAUAAUUCCUUGUGGCAACGGCAAAGAGAAGGUUCAUAUAUAAUGGGAGCUUUUCAUUAGUCAUAAAUCAUAAUAAUUGGGAGUCAAAUAACGUUAUAGACUAAAUGAAGGAGAUUUUACUGAAUACGUGUAAAAAAUU